AUAUAUAUGUAAAUGUUCAAUAAGAGGCCGGUAAGCGUUUAACAUUUCAAAAUACAAAGUGAAGUCUCACAUUAACUCAAAUACAAGGUAAUUAGCUUUCCUUUAGCUUAGGUUAGCUAAAUCAGUCUCUAAGACAAAAAACAAAACCGGAAGUCCAUUCACACUUGACCGGGUCUCGGUCAGCUGUCCUUUACCCGCUCCCGGCGGUGUUCUCACGACGUCUGCAGGAAGGGGCGGAAGUUACUCAGUGACACCGUGCGUGAUCGUUAGAAUAACGCGCGUGGACUCUUCAAAGGACUGCUAAGUCUUGCUAAAUAUAUCUCAUGGAAACUCAAGAUUUAGUUGCUGUCAGACCUUGAGGUUCAAUUCUAAAAAGGCACAUAUUCAAAGACAAGGGGAGUUUCUUUCUGGCUUAGAAACCUCCUGUCUCAGGCUCUGAAACCAUUUUAGCAGCGAGAUGACUCUGCAAGUUGGAACCAAAUAAAAGGGAGGUGACUCAUUCCGCUGUGAGUAAGUAUUUCCUUUUAAGCUAUGAAGAAAGACAAUUUCAGCACUUACAUAAAAUUGUGAUACUUUUCCUUCCCAGAUUAGGUGAUUUUUUUUCUGCCAAGUUAGACAAUGUCCAAAAGCAAACUAAAUAGCUUAACUCCAUUAAAUCUUGAAAAAUACUGCAACAAAAUCACAUCGAUGGGAUAUUGUCAGAGUCCCCAGAUUCUGGGCUUAGGGAUGCGAUUUAAUGUCUUUAUUAAUGUGUGUGUAUAAGAAUCAUAAUGAUGAUAAUUUAUUAUGUUCUCUAAUAUUAUGUUUUUGUCAUACAAUAAGUGGUUAAUGUUUAAAAUAAUAAAUGUCUUCACACCUUGCUGCAAAACAUGGUGAGAAUCCACCUUAGUCCAGAGCAACACAUUGAAGGACAGCCAGAGUUGCUCUUCCCAAUGCGCCAUGCAUAUUAAAACCAUACAUCUUCAAUCACUGAAAUGUGUAAAGCCAAUUACUGCAUUUGUAAGCCUGGAAAAAUUAGGAACAGUGACCUCAUGUAAUAACAAGAAUGAAAAAGCAUUUAUGAACAGGUUUUCCAGACCAGAAUUUUAAGCAGUCACGUUCCUCAGGCAGCAUUAAUGCUGUGGCCAUGGAUUUUCCAGAGAACAUUUCACUUCACCGUCAUUGAUAACUUAGUUCAGCCUCUUUCUAUUAUUUGUACUUAAAUAUAUAAAGAAAUCUUUUCCCAUUCUUCUUUCUUUGGAUUUUCUCUUCAACACCCACACAAAUCCAUGAGUCAUAAAUGAGCCUAUGAGGAUGAAUGGUCCCCAUCACACAGGAACACUCUUUAGCUAUGCAUGUGAAUUUAGAUAUUACAGUUGUCAAGUAAGUUCAAACUGCAAAUGAAACAAUGUCUAUGUGAAUUAUCUUCACCAAAAACAAAUUAUGAAAUUGGCCAUUGUCUUUAUGUUCUAAUAUAACGAAACAGAUUUUAUAUACAAACACAGCCUUUUCUGAAUUCUCACAUACCUGCUGUGAAAUAUGUUUACCUCUGUGAGGCGGGAUUUGGGAACCCAGCUUCUUGUCUCAGCUCUCUGCUUCCUGAUUGGAUGAUUUAACUAUGACCCUCCAUGAGGCAGACGUCAUGUGUGUCUGCCUGCCCCACAGAGUUGCUAAGAGGGUGGAAUGUGAUAAAUCUUGUAGUUGUGUUUUGUGUACUGUAAUGUGCCAUCAUAAUUUUAGGAUGUGUUUGUUACUGUUUCUUCAGCUAAAUUAAUUGUAUAGCAGAAGAAUGAUGAGGCAGUGCAAUGAACUGACAGUCAGACUAUGAAUUUGUCUGCUGCUGCAAACGUAUUUAAUGCUAAACGUAGUCCCCAAGGAUUUGAUAAUGAAUAUGAUCCUGUGAUACCAAAAGGCAUAAUUGAUCACCGUAUGUCAAGUCCAAUUCAAGCUGUGUGAUACUGCGCUCCAAUUUCGCAACUUCAGCAAGAGACCAUCUGCAGAAGUGGGCUGUCCACCGUCUCUGUUUCGCUGGCGUACGGUUCGCCUGUGCAAGGAAGUUCAUUUAAGCCAUUUAUUGGAAGAGGAAUGUCUGGUUUAGUCCAUGGCGACUGCCAGAGGUCACCGUGAACAACCAGCUGGCAUUCUGAAGACAGCUCUGUGCAGAUGCAGAAGGCAUGCUCGUGUGGCUGGGCUCAGCGAUGGAUGAGGAGUCACUUACGAUCAAGACUCUUCGAGCCUCAGAGAGAAGCAUCAGAGUUGGAGGCUAUUCAAAGAAUGUGGGUAAUAUUAACAACGUCAACAAGAAGGAUCUGUAGGUCCGAGGCCCACUGAGCUCCCGGGCGCAUCCAUUCCUCAGUCCUCCACUUUGCCCUCUGUCCACUGCUGGUCUGAUGUCCGUGGAAGUCCUUCCGUGCCAGCACUUCUGAAUCUACGGCUGCCGCGUCACAGAACCUGACUUCUGGUGCAGCCCCGCUUCUGACCUACCUGGGGCGCGUCUGCUUGUCGACGUUGACCGAGGGGUAGCUGUUGAGCGGCCGGUUCCGUCUUUCUGGGUGAAGAAGGGCCCCUCUGCUAACAUUUCGCGACUCUUUUUCAGUCCUGAAAUCAUGACGUCUCUCCCUCGGUCUCCUUUGACUCCCUGAAGAUGCUGAGACAACAUCUCUCUGGGAUGAUUUGGAAGAAGUUUGGUGGCGCCAGACAGUGUCUUACGCUCUAAGAUAAUUAAAAUCAUGAUCCAUAUACAUAUAUGUUAAACAUCUUAUUUUACUCACUAAUCAAUGAAGGAAACAUUGAUUCAAUGAAUCAAUGAAAUAACUCAAAGAACAGCUAUAUUUAUAGAUCAGAAAUAUUGAAAUGAAUGUGUAAAUAGAAGCAAACUGAUUUCACCACAGAGGCUGGGGAAAUCAAUGAGAGCCCUACCAGACAGGACAGAAUUUGCAUGUCAGAGGAUUAUUUUGCAUUACUAUCAAUUACUUACAACUGAAAAGGUUGUAAAGUAGCUCAAAGGUAAUGAAAGAUUAGAAUCAGACGACCCAAGGGCUUUCCUCCAGACAAUGCCUAGUUUCCCAGUAAAGCACAAUUCCUUUCCUACAACCACCACAGCAUCUCUCUCCCCCGGCAGCCAAGCAAGUGCCAGGCAUCGCUCACACUGAAGAGCCUUAAUGCCAGGUUGCUCGGGAUUAACACUAGUUCCAACAUUCCUUUUUCCUUGUUUCUCUCAGGACCACCUGGUUCUUAUGUAGAUGGGGCUCCGGGAGGCCUGCCACGCCUGCCAGGGUUCCCACACGGGGCAGAGAGGUGAGGCCUCCUGUGGGACAGAUGCUUCCUUUGUGUUGCUGUAUUGGGCAGGGGAAUGGUGGAGGUCGAGGACUAGGGGCGGAAGCUGCAGGGGACAGGACAGGACCUGGUUGUGAAGUGUCUUCUGUGCUAUGCUAAGGAUUUUGGUCUUGACCCCAAAGGCAGUGGAGAACAACCAUAGUCUUUUGAAGAGGUUAGUGAAGUGAUCAGGGCUGGAUUUGAAUGAGAUAACUGGAGGUGGCACGAAGGAUACACUACAGUGAGAAAAUGGAAAGUGUUUCAGGGGUGGGAGAGGGGAGGUGAAAGGGAGAGAUGGCAAGUCUUAGCUCGUGGAACGUCCUGAGUGAACAGAAAUGACUUUCAGAGAAUUUUCUGCCCAUCACAGGCACACUCUCACUCUUCUCUUCAAAAUAUCUCCAGAGGCCAGCCCGGUGGCGCAGUGGGUAAGUGCACACGUUCCGCUUCUCGGCGGCCCGGGAUUCACC